UGUUAAAGAUUAAGCCAUGCAUGUGUAAGUUUAAAGACCAUGAAUGAUGAAACUGCGGACGGCUCAUUACAACAGUUAUAGUUUAUUUGGUUAAUAUUUAUAAGGAUAACUCUGUUAAUUGUAGAGCUAAUACUUGAGACAUUCCACAUACUUUUGUUUGUGGUUUUUGUACAUUAGUACAAAAUGAAUUAUUCUUUUACUGAAUAAGAGAAUAAGGACAAUUGUAGAAAUUCGCGAUUUUUACAAGUAACCAAAGUAAAUUUCUGACCUAUCAACUUGAAUGUAAGGUAGUGGCUUACGUUUGUUAUUACGGGUAACGAGAAAUAAGGGUUUGAUAUCGGAGAGGGAGCAUUAAAAAUGGCUACCACUUCCAAGGAAGGCAGCAGGCGCGAAAAUUACCCACUUCAAAAAUUGAGAGGUAGUGACGACAAAUAACUAAGGUCUACUCUUUGAGUAGAUUUUAAGGAAUGAAACAGGAUUAAAUAUCCUGAAUAACUCUAUUAGAGGGCAAGUCUGGUGCCAGCAGCCGCGGUAAUUCCAGCUCUAAUAGUGUAUAUUAAAGUUGUUGUGAUUAAAAAGCUCGUAGUUGAAAUAUAUCUAGAGUGACACUGAAUUGUAUUCAUUUUUUGAAUACAAGGCUGUGUUUGAUUCUAAACAUGAUUACUCCAGUCAUUUCUAUGGCUGUUGUAAUCUCUUUACUUUGAAUAAAGAUGAGUGUUUAAAGCAAAUUCUAUUAAUGAAUUUUGAAGCAUGGGAUAAUAUUGAGGAGAUUGUGUUAAUUCAAGAUUUAUCUUGAUAGACACAAUAUCAAUAGAAGGAUUAAUAGGAAGUGAUGAGGUUAUUUUUACGAAAAUGGGAGAGGUGAAAAUCCAUGAUCAUUUUAGGAAAAACUAAAGCGAAGGCUAUUGACUUAGCUCUUUCCAUUAAUCAAGAACGAAAGUUAGGGUAUCGAAGACGAUUAGAUACCGUCGUAGUCCUAACCGUAAACUAUGUCAACUAAGGAUUGGAUUGAAUUUGUGAUUUAUGAAGUUGCAGCUUGCUGUUAAUGGAUUAUAUCAAAAUACCUCAGUUCAGGACUUGUAGAGAAAUCUUAAGUUAAUGGACUUCAGGGGGAGUAUGCUCGCAAGAGUGAAACUUAAAGGAAUUGACGGAAGGGCACACCAGGAGUGGAGCCUGCGGCUUAAUUUGACUCAACACGGGAAAACUUACCAAGACCAAACAUUAGGAUGAAUGACAACUUACACAGUUCUCAUGAUUUGAUGAUGAGUGGUGCAUGGCCGUUCUUAGUUGGUGGAGUGAUUUGUCAGGUUUAUUCCGAUAACGAACGAGACUCUAUUCUUUAAUUUGUUGGUACAGCACUUGUUGUACUAGGUUAGAAAUAACAUUCUUCGGAUAACAACUUAAAGAGACUUGUUUCAAUUUUUCAACAUAUCAGCAACUUUGUUGUCUGAUGUGGGUGAAAGAAGAAACAGGAAGAAGAGCAAUAACAGGUCUGUGAUGCCCUUAGACAUCUUGGGCUGCACGCGUGCUACAAUAGCAAACAUAAAGAGUAUUUUUAACAGUUAUAACUGGGCUUUACUAGCAAUAGUAGAGAUCGAGCACUAGGCUGUUAAUACUAGCAUUAACAAUGCUGGUUAAUCUCAAAAGUUUGACUAUAACAGGGAUUAUAAAUUGGAAUUAUUUUAUAUGAACGAGGAAUUCCUUGUAAAAUUUUGUCACUAUCAAAAGUUGAAUAAGUCCCUGCCCUUUGUACACACCGCCCGUCGCUUCUACCGAUUGAAUAAAAAGAUGAAGGUUUAAGAGGAUCUUUUCACGAAGAACCAAAUGGAUCUGAAUCUGUUUAUUUAGAGG
rnacentral:rRNA from 1 species